UGCUACAUAGGUAUUUCUACCCACCCACCGUACCUAUCUCUUUGCUUUUAAGAAUACGUGCCUUUUUCAUUAUUCAUCAAUAUUAAUAAUAAUUAAAACGACUACGAUGCCCUUGGAAAUAACUCUGAAGCAACUCCAGUGUGGCCCAAAACUGACCCUGAACUUUAUGGUUUCCUGCAGUCGCACUGAUGUCAACAAUGUGAGUGAUGCAGUGACUGAGCCUAUUAAUGUCAAUAAUCUGGCUCUAGUCCGAUUCAAAUUUCGGUAUGCCC